rnacentral:rRNA from 1 species
AAAGUUGUUGCAGUUAAAAAGCUCGUAGUUGGAUUUCGGGACGGCACGGUCGGUCCGCCGCAAGGUGUGUCACUGGCCGGGCUGUUCUUCCUCGCAAAGACUGCGUGUGCUCUUAGCUGAGUGUGCGGAGGACUUGCGACGUUUACUUUGAAAAAAUUAGAGUGUUCAAAGCAGGCCAUCGCUUGAAUACAUAAGCAUGGAAUAAUGGAAUAGGACUUUGGUUCUAUUUUGUUGGUUUCUGGAACCGAAGUAAUGAUUAAGAGGGACAGUUGGGGGCAUUCGUAUUUCGUUGUCAGAGGUGAAAUUCUUGGAUUUACGAAAGACGAACUACUGCGAAAGCAUUUGCCAAGAAUGUUUUCAUUAAUCAAGAACGAAAGUUAGAGGAUCGAAGACGAUCAGAUACCGUCCUAGUUCUAACCAUAAACGAUGCCGACUAGGGAUCAGAGAGUGUUAUUGGAUGACCUCUUUGGCACCUUAUGGGAAACCAAAGUUUUUGGGUUCCG